rnacentral:rRNA from 1 species
AGGAUAAACGCUGGCGGCGUGCCUAACACAUGCAAGUCGAACGUCUCUUCUUUCGGGAAGAGGAGUGGCGGACGGGUGAGGAACACGUGGGAACCUGCCCUUUAGUGAGGAAUACCGGCGAGAAAUCGCCGACAAGACCGCAUAGCCCUCUUUGAUGAGAGUCAAAGAAGGAAAGCUUCGCAAGAGGCGCUAGAGGAGGGGCCUGCGUCCGAUUAGCUAGUUGGUGGGGUAAGAGCCUACCAAGGCGUCGAUCGGUAGCUGGUCUGAGAGGACGAUCAGCCACACUGGGAUUGAGAACGGCCCAGACUCCUACGGGGGCAGCAGUGAGGAAUCUUCCCCAAUGGGCGCAAGCCUGAGGAGCGACGCCGCGUGGAUGAUGAAGCUCUUCGGAGUGUAAAAUCCUUUUCCCGCGAUGAGAUGGACAGUAGCGGGGGAAUAAGCCACGGCUAACUACGCGCCAGCAGCCGCGUAA